ensembl:lncRNA
GAGAUAUUAAUUAUUGUAAACUUUUCAUUCAGUUUAGCCUUCCAGGGUACCACAUGAUGAAGUUUAGGUGCUCUUACUGCAUUCAAAGCUGCAAGCUCAGAUAUGUUGAUUCCUCUUGGCAAUGUUGCCAAGUCUUGUUGAAUCCUAAAAGGGAGCAGCAGGUUUGGGGAAGGUGAAAUGUUAGAUGUGAGUAACUUCGGUGGAUCUUGAUGGAUUUAGAGUUUUUUUGUGAAAUGUAAAAGGAAGGUGGAAUGAUACCAUAUCUUAUAAUUCACCUGAUUCUGAAGAAAUGAGCAAGAGAACAAGGUGCACAAAAAUUUGACUGUGUAUGCAUCAGAGGGCAAAUGAGGCAACUCCAUUGCUACUCAGAUUCAGUGCUUUGCUGUAAUUCCAUAAAAUACCUAGUAGAGACAUUGAAAAGCUUGAUAAAUUCGGAAUAUUUGAACCUUUUACUAUUCUUGUACUAUUAAAACUUUACAGAGAUUGGGUUAAAUUCAGCUCCUUUCCACUAUCUCCACCACCACUUUAUAUAUGUGUUUUAUGCUAAUUCCUAGAUUUGUCAACAGAUUUUGAGGCCUCAUUGUACUAUGCUAAAUAAUGACUACACAUCAUUCUGUGCACUGAAGAGUUCAAGAUGACAAAACUUUGGAAGGAGAAGUAGGGAUGAACGGCUUGGCCAGUGUUGUUCAGGAGACUGCACUUCUGUCCAGAAGUGUGAAUGUCCUCCAAGAUAUGACUGAAUGGGGCUGCCGUGCAGAAGAGAUAAUAGGCCUGGUUACAUCCAUGUUAUCUGGAGGAAUAAGUCUUCUUGGCAAAUGAAAUAAGGCUUCAUGCAGUAAGAUCAUGCAAAAUAGAACACAGUAAGUUAUCAGACCUCAUAUAUGGGUACAGUAAUGUGAGAGAACUCUACACAGAAGAAGUUCAGAUAUCGUUGCCUUUGGCUUCUACUAAUUGCUACAUUCCCUUAUAUUCAUUGGGAUUCACUAGAAGUGAGAGGUUGCUGGUUUUGAUGGAAAUAACCAGAAACCUGAAGUGAAGGGUGAGAAGACUCUAACAUGGAGUUGUUCUAAUGACUAAUGAAAUCAGAGUGAAGGCUGAAUGACAUUGAUGUCUAUAUGAUAAGCAGUAGUGGGUCAAAAUCUGAACAAUACUAUACCCCAGGAAAUAACAGAUACAUUUAGGAGGGGAAAAAAAAGCCUGAAACUUGCCUGUCAAGUUGCAUUUCUCUUAUUUAUGUUUACUCUUUCAUUGUUGUCUCUUCUGUUUGUUUGUUUUUUUUUUUUUUUACUGUAUUUCCUUUUGAGCCUUGACAAGAUAGGCAGUAUUAUUAUGUUGAUGCAUUAGGGUAGAAGAAAUUUUGAAAUUAUUUUGUGUAAGUGGUUGACAGCACAACUUUUCUGAUGUUCUAAACCCUUAGCAAAAAUCUUAGGUACCAGAAACUCCUUUCUAGCUCUUGCAAGCUCAUAAUUUCAUCUAUCAGUUUUCCCUCUGGCCACAGCACCAAUAUUCUGUAGCUCUUCCUUCUCUCAGUUCCUAUGAUUUCUCUUUCAGAUUUGUGCUCU